ACAAACAAUGGUCACCAAGUCCGGGAACAGGUUGUAUGAGUCACUUGAGGCAUUUAUCCCGCCCUGUUUCAGAGAAAUCUCUAUUUCAAACUAUUCCUAUGUGUUAUUUAUUGAAAAACAACAGACAAUCGCAAAAACAAGUUGACCUUUUUGUGUUCCUUGAGCCCAGUCACAAAGGGCCCUCAUGACUGGGCCUCAUGCCAAACAACGUGUUACAAAGAGAGCUAGGGUCCCAGACUGCGCCAAAGCUUCAUGAGACUCUCCUCAUCGUGCACGGACUGGUGGCCGACUCUGGAGCCCAGGUUGUUGCUUCCUGGUCUGGUGAUGAAUCCUCCAUAGUCUGCUACUUGUACUGAAGAAUCGAGCCUGUGGGCAUUUUGAGCUGAAGGCAACUGAAAAAAAGCAGACGAGUUAAGGGGUCUCCAGUCAACUCUCGUGAGGAGACACGUCCGACUGCCUUGUUUAGACGGCCUCAGGGUGAGGGAUCAGGACCCACCCAGUGCAACAAAUAAACCCGGAGUCUCAGCAACGUGAGGAGAAAAAGGCUUGCAACACCAUGGCGACCAGAUAACUCCGUGCACAGACUAAGGUCUCCUAACACAGGCACUGCCCCUGGAGUUCUCAGUACAUCAACAUCAGCCUGGGGAUCAUGUCCUCAUCAAAAGCUGGAAAGAGGAGAAACUCGAACCAGCCUGGGAAGGACCUUACCUGCUGCUUCUAACCACUGAAACCGCAGUCCAGAGAGCAGAAAAAGGAUGGACCCAUCACACCUGAGUCAAGAAAGCACCACCACCUCUGGAGUCAGGAGCCGUUAUCCCAGGGGAAAACCCUACCAAACUAAUGCUAAGAAAAGUUUAACUCUCUUUCAUCUAUUCUACUACUCCUUCUUCUUUCCUCAUUCUAUGGCUGACCACCUCAUUAUUAAUGUAACCACGUCAAGCUCACCCCAAACUAUUACCUUUGAUGCAUGUCUUGUUAUACCCUGUGGAGAUCUCCAAAGUCAAAAGCAACACUCAGCCUCAGAGAAAUAUCUCUGCCCCUUUAAGAUAAAAGGCUCCCCCUAUCAAGACCCUUGUUCCUUAACGAAUGCAGGAAAACAGGUCUGCCAUAGCUGGAAUGAUGUUAUGUGGACAACUGACUAUCAAGGCUGGACCUCAUCAACAGGUGGUUGUGUGUCCUUAAAACCAUACAUUUGCUUCACUAAAGGAAGUACCUCCCACAACUGCCAGUAUAACCAAUGUAAUUCUCAUUGGUUUCUAUUCUCAUUCCCACUUCUACUGACCCUAAACCUACUUUAAGUUGCUUAUAUGGCAUGGGAGCCAAAAUAGCAGGGACACAUCUUAUUGGAUCUUUUGAGAUAUGUUUUAUUAUUCAUUCACCUCCUACAUCUCCUUCUACACUAUCCCCCAAUGUUCUGUUCUUCCUCCACCCAAAGAUAAAACCAAAAUAGAUAUUGUAGAAGUAAAUGACCUAAAACAAACUUUAGCAAUUGAAACAGGAUAUCAAGAUGCAAAUGCCUGAUGGAAUGGAUUAAAUAUUCCGUACACACUUUAAACAAAAGCAAUUGUUAUGCUUGUGCGCACAGCAGGCCAGAGGCCCAGAUUGUCCUCUUUCUACUCAGAUGGUCCUCCAGUCGACCAAGCAUAGGCUGUAUGGUAGCUCUCUUCCAGGAUUCUACAGUUUGGGGCAAUAAAUCAUGCCAAGCUGUCUCUCUGCUCUAUCCUGAAGUUCAACACCCUGCGGGUCAGCCCCCAAGGGUCAUCCAGCUUCCGUCUCCCAAUGUCAGUUUCACCUCAUGUCUUUAAUGACAAGGGAGAACUUGGCAUUCCUUGGAAGUUUAACAGGAUGUAGUGAGCUUAAGCCAUUCCAAGAGCUUACCCAUCAGUCUGCCCUUAGUCAUCCUUGAGCGGAUGUAUGGUGGUAUUGUGAUGGACCCUUACUGGAUACUCUGCCAAGUAACUGGAGUGGUACUCAUGCUCUUGUACAAUUGGCUGUCCCUUUCGCCCUUUCAUUUCUUCAACCAGAAAAAGCCACACCACCAUAAAAUAAGAGAAGCCCCUUAGGGGUCUUUUGACUCUCAAGUUUAUUUAGACACAGUUGGAGUCCCACAGGAGUACUAGACAAAUUCAAAGCUCAAGACCAGAUAGCUGCAGGAUUUGAAUCAGUACUUUGGUGGGUAACUAUCAAUAAAAAUAUAGAUUGGAUAAAUUACAUCUUUUAUAACCAGCAGCAGUUUAUUAACUACACUAGAGAUGCUGUCAAAGGAAUAGCCGAACAGUUAGGGCCUACUAGCCAGAUGGCUUGGGAAAACAGAAUGGCCCUAGACAUGAUAUUAGCCAAAAAAGGUGGAGUUUGUGUUAUGAUCAAAACUCAGUGUUGUACCUUCAUCCCAAACAAUACUGCCCCCAGUGGGAGCAUACCAAGGGCCUUAAAAGGCCUUACUGCUUUAUCCAGUGAAUUAGCUAAACAUUCUGGAGCCAAUGACCCUUUUUCAGGAUGGCUAGAAAGGUGGUUUGGUAAAUGGAAAGGAAUCACAGACUCAAUUCUUACUUCUCUUGCAGCCAUAAUAGGUGUACUCAUUCUUGUUGGGUGUUGUGUCAUACCAUGUAUCCGUGGGCUAGUACAGAGGCUUAUAGAAACAGCACGUACUAUAACCUCCCUUAGCUUUCCUCCACCUUAUUCAGAUAAGCUUUUCCUUUCAGAGGGUCAAGUCGAACAGCAAAGCCAAGACAUGUUAAAAAGGUUUGAAGAGGAGGGACUAUAAAAAUUGAAAGGGGAAAAUUAUAAGAUAUGGUAAAUUCCUCUUCAAAGAUUUAGUCUGUUAACUUCCUUAUUCUUUGUUCUCAAACUCACCUUCCUUGUUCUCCACGCUUCCUUGUCCCUAGUUACUGUGAACAACCUUCCCGCCAGUUCUAAUCAAUAACUCACAUCUGUUCCCUUGGUUACCCACUCUGCACCCAUUCUUCCCACAGAAACUGCAUGUCCCACCACUGUAACUCACAUCCCCCUUCCCUUCCUUAUUUGUAAAAGUCUUCACAAAUGGCCAAUCGGGUCAACUUAGAAUGUGUGGUCUGACCCCAGUCCUGGGGGAGUGACACAGAGGUAGAGACUGUGUUAGGGAUAAAAACAUUUUCCCUCCUUUGUUCAGUGUGCUGCUGUGAUCUUGAUUGAUGCAAGAAGCACCCUUCUGCAGAAGUAAAUUGCCUUGCUGAGAAAA